CCUACGGGAGGCAGCAGUGAGGAAUAUUGGUCAAUGGACGAGAGUCUGAACCAGCCAAGUAGCGUGAAGGAUGACUGCCCUAUGGGUUGUAAACUUCUUUUAUAUGGGAAUAAAAUGAUCCACGUGUGGGAUUUUGUAUGUACCAUAUGAAUAAGGAUCGGCUAACUCCGUGCCAGCAGCCGCGGUAAUACGGAGGAUCCGAGCGUUAUCCGGAUUUAUUGGGUUUAAAGGGAGCGUAGGUGGGUUGUUAAGUCAGUUGUGAAAGUUUGCGGCUCAACCGUAAAAUUGCAGUUGAUACUGGCAGUCUUGAGUACAGUAGAGGUAGGCGGAAUUCGUGGUGUAGCGGUGAAAUGCUUAGAUAUCACGAAGAACUCCGAUUGCGAAGGCAGUUCACUGGACUGCAACUGACACUGAGGCUCGAAAGUGUGGGUAUCAAACAGGAUUAGAUACCCGAGUAGUC
rnacentral:rRNA from 1 species